AAAUUUAAUUUUUAAUUAUUUUUGAACACUUUUUAGUCUGUUUGUCAAUUUUAAUAGCGAUGUCAAACAGACCAUAAAAUAAUAUUUUUAUUCAGAAGAGCAAUUUCAAAUUCUAAAACUUAAUGCCAAAUUGGCUUAUGUUUGCCGGUAGAAUACAAGCAUAGUUUCGAAACAUUUUAGUUCUUCCCUGAAUUUUUAUUUGGGGUGUAUUGGCAGAUGACAGUGUUAUUUGUUUUCAGUUAGCUAUUUUUCAUUUUUAGUUGGUUCAUUUUUCAGCUGCUACUUUUCAGUUUUAGGUAACUAAUUUUAGUUGGUUAGGCAGUUACCAAAGUCAACAUUGGUGGGCUUUCAGCUGGCAAGUUGUUUUAGUUUUCCCACUUUAUUUGCUUUCUUCUUCCUUCAUUUUAUGUAAGGUUGAACAGUUUUAUGUGAUUGGCAAUGAGAAUUAAUCUCUCUCUCCUGGUAAUUGUUCCUGAUUGCCAAAUUCACUUUGUAUCAGAGCAGGUUUCAAGAAACUGAAUCCUUCAAUUUUUUCUUGUUUCACAAUCAUGAAGAGAAAAAAAAAUUCGGUUUCCAAGUCUUUAGCCGAAGCUGAAUAUAGGAGUAUGGCAGUGCAGCAACUGUAUGUGAGCUCUUUUGGAUUUCUUGCGUGUUAAGAGAUAUGAAGGUCCAAGUGCAGCUACCUGUUCCUUUCAUGUAUGACAACCAGGCAGCCAUUCACAUAGCUAGCAAUCUUGUCUUCCAUGAGACGCCUAAGCAUCUUGAUAUUGAUUGCCAUCUGGUCAGAGAACAAUUGCAGAAAGGGUUGAUUCAGCCUUGUCAUCUUGCUUCUGCUCAGCAAGUCGCUGAUGUCUUUACAAAGCCUCUAGGAUCAUCGUUCUCUUGUUUCCAAGUUGGGUCUGGUGGACCUUCCCCAAACUCCAACUUGAGGGGGAUACUGGCAGAUGACAAGAAUUAUUUAUUUUUAAUUAGCUACAUUUCACUUUGUUAGCUAAUUUUUAGUAACUAAUUUAUUAUCAUUUCUAUUGAUAAUAGAAUUUUUUUUAUUUAAAAUAAAUUUUAAAAUAAUAAAAUUUAUUCUUUAAUUUA
rnacentral:misc_RNA from 1 species